rnacentral:rRNA from 1 species
AGUGAACGCUGGCGGUAGGCCUAACACAUGCAAGUCGAACGGCAGCACAGGAGAGCUUGCUCUCUGGGUGGCGAGUGGCGGACGGGUGAGGAAUACAUCGGAAUCUACCUUUUCGUGGGGGAUAACGUAGGGAAACUUACGCUAAUACCGCAUACGACCUACGGGUGAAAGUGGGGGACCGCAAGGCCUCACGCGAUUAGAUGAGCCGAUGUCCGAUUAGCUAGUUGGCGGGGUAAUGGCCCACCAAGGCGACGAUCGGUAGCUGGUCUGAGAGGAUGAUGGGCCACACUGGAACUGGGACACGGUCCAGACUCCUACGGGGGGCAGCAGUGGGGAAUAUGGGACAAUGGGCGCAAGCCUGAUCCAGCCAUACCGCGUGGGUGAAGAAGGCCUUCGGGUUGUAAAGCCCUUUUGUUGGGAAAGAAAUCCUGUCGAUUAAUACUCGGUGGGGAUGACGGUACCCAAAGAAUAAGCACCGGCUAACUUCGUGCCAGCCGCCGCCGUAAAAC